GUGAAUCAUCGAAUCUUUGAACGCAAAUUGCACUCUCUGGUAUUCCGGAGAGUAUGCCUGUUUGAGGGUCAGUUUAAAUAAAAAUCGGUGUGGUUGCUGCCUUUCGUGGUGACGCACCGGAUUUGGGUCGUCUUGCCUUCGGUUAAGUGACCUAAAAUUUUGCAUGAUUUUUUUCGAACGUAUUUAAUUGAUUUUAGGUAGUUUGGCGUUAUGAAUUAUUAGUUGUG
rnacentral:misc_RNA from 1 species